UGUGUUUGACGAAAAAAACGCGGAAAUGCGAUUAAAAUGCGCACCACAGAGAGAAAUGCAAUUUCACUGGCAAUCCGCCUACUGUGCACUGCCGCAUGGAUACAGCCGCACACGCUCUGUUCAUUGGUCAGUCAGUUGAAAAACCUAGGUUGGUCCGUUCUUCGGAAUAUGGCAUUUCCCAAACGCCAUUACACCGUAUUUAGCAUAAAUACUUGGAUCUCAAGGCUUAUGAAGUUCAGUUUAAACAAGAACUCAAGCCGUCCAAUCGUAAACGAUGUCGUGUCUUUGCUAAUUUGGUCCUUCAAUUGCGUGAAAAUGAUCCGGAGUUUAUCAAAAAAUCAUAUGACAGACGAGGCCCAUUUCCACAUCGAUGGUUAUCUCAAGAACCAAGCCUGUCGUAUCUGGUGUUAGGGAAACGCAAUAUUUAUUGUUGAAUUGAAUGGUAUGGACGCAUUGUCAACAAGACGGCGCUACGUACCACACAAGCAAACGAAACCAUCGAUGAUUUAAGGAAAAUGUUGGCGGAUCGUCUUAUCUCUCGAAAAGGUGAUCGCAAUUGACUACCGAGAUCUUGUGAUUUAACGCCUUCAGACUUCUUUUUACUACGCCAACAGGCAACGAAGAUUCAAGACUUCAAAGAGGGAAUUCCUUAAGCGAUAUAGCGCAUGCAGCAGUCACUUUGCGCUUUGGUGCUGGAAAAUUUCGUAAAAAAAGAUACGUUGGGAUUGCUGAACUCACUUCAAAAUGUGUCCUCGGGCACUAUUCUACAAAGAACAGCAAUAGGUUGUGUGAAACCUUCCCUAUCCAUCCUUCAUAAUUAAAGGAUAGGGAUUUUUAGUGAAGGCAAUUUGACGUAAAAGAUUUAAAGGUUUAAUGAAACCUAGAUCCUCUCAUGUAGAGAGUUUUUGUGCCGGUUAUGAGAACCAACACUCAAAAUUACGAAUCUAAAAAAAGAGAGUAUACGAUGUUUAAGGCUGUUAUCAAUCAACUGUGCUCUCUAGUUAAGACUCUAUCGUUUCAACGUCAAAGAAACAUUUAAUU